UUUUACGCAGGCGGCAUCUUGACCGGACAAGCAAAUAAGUGCAACACUGAAAAGGCCAAAGUCUUGACCUCCGUGGAGCAAAAAAGAAACUGCUGCAAGAACUCUGUGGGUCCAACAAUAUGUGCGUGCGUGUGUGUGUCUUGGAGUGGGGGAAGAAAUUGCUGAAAUUUUAGGUCAAGACCCUGCAUCAAGACUGCGGUUUGUUUCUUUCCCAUUGCAUCGAAGAAAGGUCACCCAUAAAAGACAUUCACAAUAGAUCAAAGAAAUACAAUAGAAUCAACGGAAAACUACAUCCAAGGCUGACAAACAACCAUAUGCAAAAGAAGACAAACUAUGCAAAUAAAAAAAGAAACUAAUAAUAGUAAUAAAUGGCUAAUUAAAUAAUACUGAGAAUAUCAAUUGUGAAGCGGUGCAGCCCAGCCAUUGCUCUGAGCAGGAGAUUUAUUUAUUUACACAUGGUAAAAACUGUGUGACACUUUAAUAAAAUAUUCCUGCAGGGAAACAAAAGCUACGUGCAUGGAGCAUUUCACUUACUGUGCGGCCAUGCACACGCGGCUGAGAGGGAACAGUGCUUGGAACUACCUUUUUGAGCUUGAGGCCACGACCUUAAUCACCCCUGCUGUGGACCACUUCUGGAGGUCCAAGAAACCGCCUUCUACAAAGAAGGGAUCUGUAUGCUCCACGACCGCUGGACUAAGUGUGUAAAUGUAGGAAAAAUAAAUGUGCCUAGAUUUUCUGAACUUGACUCCUUCUACCCUAGGCCACAAACUUAUCAAUCACCCAUCGUAUUUUGAUACUGAGAGAACUUCACAAAUACUAGAAAGAUUUAAAAAAUUCUCUGCUAUCCCAUGAUUUCAGUUAAGAUCAGAAAUUUCUAUAACUCAUUAAAUAAAUUGGUGCCCCUGACAUUUCCAUGUCAAACUAUGUACGUGCAGAAGUUAAUAAAACUACAGAUGCUGUAAAACUGAACAGAAAAUGCUAGUGACAAAUCAGCAGUUCAGUUAACAUAUGUAGAGAGUAAAACAAGAAAGUAACUUUACAGAUAAGGUCAUUUCGAUGAAGGGUUACUGAGCUGUAAUGCUCUGCUUCUCUCUCCAUUAUUGCUGCGUUACCUGCGGAGUAUUUCUAGCAUUUUCUGUUUUUAGCCCUGAAAUUAUCAGCUUCAUGGUAUAAUUAGGUCAAGUGCUAUUUCAUGACUGCAAAUUCUAGGCCAGUGUUUCCCAUAUAGUGCAACUUAAAGUGUAUCUGACUUUAGCUAAUUUGGAGAAUUGGCAGAAGAUAAGAGUGCAAUCAUAAUUGAGAUCUGACAAGCAAUUGCAUUCUAGUAUACUGGAGCAAAUCUUUUGAGACAAUGUCGACAAUGUUGAACUCUUUCAAGAUUAGCACAUACUCUGAAAACAGCCCUUUCAAUUAACAAUUCAGCUAAUAAUGAUCAACCUGACUGAGAGACAAUUGACCAUAUACAAUUCCAGCAGAUGUUUACCACAUAUAUGUUAUGAGAGUUAUAGCAUAUAAAAAGUCACUAGUAUCUCAUAUAGGUCACUAUGCUACAAUCAGAGCACCAGAGCAUAUCUGACAACAAGACAUAGUUUGAUUAGUAGGAAGUAGAUUGGAAAAGACAUUGGAAUGACCACAUACGUUCCUCUGAGAAGUCCUGUUAUUCCUUUUCGUGCCUUGUGGUUUAUCAUGCAGCAUUGUUUUGCCAUUUCCCUAGCAUUUUUCUGUAUUUACAAAUCCAAGUUGCUAGCUCGAUGCUCAGCCCAGCACAGAUGGAAAAUAUGCAAGCAGCCAGCCGGAUUCAAACCUGCGACCAUUUGCCUUGAAGUCUGGUGCUGAUGCCACUAGCACCGGCCAACUCUGAGAAGAGGUGCUGAAAAGUAAUUUGCUUUCAUAUUGGGUUUCAGCUACCAAUUUCUAUUUCAUAGACAUCAAAAUGCAAAUAUUGGGUUUUAUCAGGAAUCUUCAUGUGAUAUGCUGUUUUGGAAGCACUGGUGAACAUGACAAAAGAGGAUAUCAUAACUUCUUGCAAACUCAUUGCAAUUAUCCCAAUGCCAAAUUUAUAAUAUAAAAUUGUGGUAAAAAUGCUCUGUGUGUCUGCAUUGCUGAAAUGUUGCAAUGCAAAAUGUCCCAUUUAUGAACCUCAACGAAGCAGUUUUAGAUAGUUUCAUCUCUCCCUAAAAUGACAUCAAGGCUCAUUUGAUAAGAAUAUUACUAAAUUUAAACUUAUAUAGUUUGAGAAAACCAUUGGAAUGUAGAUGGAGGAUUGAUUUCCUUUCAGUUCAACAAAAUAGAUCUUCUCGCCAUUAAAGUAACAAAUGCUAUCAUCCGACAGGCUGAAGAAGACAAAGAUUUAUGUUCUACCAUUGGCAAUCCAAAAAUUGCCGUAAUAGGAUGGGGUUGUAAAUCAAAGCAUAGAACUGUUGAAAUAAUAUCAAAAAUAUCUUUCCAAUAUUUUUCCAAAAGAGGACAAGACCAAAACAUAUGAGUUAAAGAAGCCACUUCAGAGUGACAUCUAUCAUAAGUAGUGUUUAUAUGGGAAUAAAAACAAGCUAGUUUAUCUUUGGACAUAUGGGCUCUGUGUACUACUUUAAAUUGUAUUAAUGUAUGUUUAGCACAUAUAGAAGAAAUACUAACAUUAGAAGUGAUAUUUUUGACCCUUCGGUUAAAUUUGAAGAAACUUGGAAAUCUUUUAUGCAACAUUUUCAUAUGAUGUAAUCUGACCUUCCUGAAUCUUUUUUAAAAACUUAAAUUAUACGAUUAGAGGAGCGGAAUUGAUGACAUUACUGAACGUGUCUGAUAGAAGAUAUUGGUCUAGCCCUGUUUUGUUCUUUUCUUGGGUUUUUUUUUCUUUUUCUUCUAGGGAUUUUUUUGUUUAUAUAUAUUUUUUCUUUUUAUUUCUUUUUUUAUGACUAAUUUCAUUAUGAGUUUAUAAGUCAAUUAUAUCUAUGUUACUUAAAAUCCUUUUUGUAUAUGCUG